UACAGAGGUGGCAAGCGUUGCUCGGAAUUACUGGGCGUAAAGCGCGCGUAGGCGGUUUAGUCAGUCAGAUGUGAAAGCCCCGGGCUCAACCUGGGAACUGCAUUUGAUACUGCUGAACUAGAGUAUGGUAGAGGGAAGUGGAAUUCCGGGUGUAGCGGUGAAAUGCGUAGAUAUCCGGAGGAACACCAGUGGCGAAGGCGACUUCCUGGACCAAUACUGACGCUGAGGUGCGAAAGCGUGGGUAGCAAACAGGAUUAGAUACCCGAGUAGUCC
rnacentral:rRNA from 1 species